rnacentral:rRNA from 1 species
GAUGAACGCUGGCGGCGUGCCUAAUACAUGCAAGUCGAGCGAACAGACGAGGAGCUUGCUCCUUUGACGUUAGCGGCGGACGGGUGAGUAACACGUAGGUAACCUACCUAUAAGACUGGGAUAACUUCGGGAAACCGGAGCUAAUACCGGAUAAUAUUUCGAACCGCAUGGUUCGAUAGUGAAAGAUGGCUUUGCUAUCACUUAUAGAUGGACCUGCGCCGUAUUAGCUAGUUGGUAAGGUAACGGCUUACCAAGGCAACGAUACGUAGCCGACCUGAGAGGGUGAUCGGCCACACUGGAACUGAGACACGGUCCAGACUCCUACGGGAGGCAGCAGUAGGGAAUCUUCCGCAAAGGGCGAAAGCCUGACGGAGCAACGCCGCGUGAGUGAUGAAGGUCUUCGGAUCGUAAAACUCUGUUAUUAGGGAAGAACAAGCGUGUAAGUAACUGUGCACGUCUUGACGGUACCUAAUCAGAAAGCCACGGCUAACUACGUG